UGUUAGGAUUCAUGUUUUAGUUUUAUAAGAAUUUUGUUUAUGAAAUUCUACCAUGAAAUAGCAUGAUCUUAUGAAUGUUAUGUUUUGAUUUGAUAUUUUAAUAUGAUGUUAAAACAUUGUAAAUAGCAUGAUUUUAGUAGGUUAACAACAUGUUUUUUAUGUUUAAGAGUCAUGUUGAAAAUCAUGUGCUAUUCAGAAAAAAUUUUGGUCACUGCCUUCAGA
rnacentral:lncRNA from 1 species